rnacentral:rRNA from 1 species
GAUUAGAUACCCUACUAUGCCAAGCUGUAAAUAUCGAUCAAACUUUUGUCCGCCAGAGAACAACGAGCUAAAGCUUAAAACCCAAAGGACUUGGCGGCGCUCCACACACCCUAGAGGGGCCUGUCACGUAAUCGAUAAUCCACGAUAAACCUCACCACUUUUAGCCCAUCAGCCUAUAUACCGCCGUCGCCAGCCCAUCCCGACAGGAAAAUAAAAUGGACCCAAUAGUCUCCACACUAGUACGACAGGUCAAGGUGUAGCUUAUAAAGUGGCAAAUGAUGGACCACAUUGCUCUUCCAGCCACACUUGAACUGCACUGAAACACGCACUUUAAAGGUGAAUUUAACAGUAAGGUGGACAAGAAAGCCCACCUAAAGCAUGCUCUGGAGCGUGCACACACCGCCCGUCACC